rnacentral:rRNA from 1 species
GACGAACGCUGGCGGCGUGCCUAAUACAUGCAAGUAGAACGCUGAAGGAGGAGCUUGCUUCUCCGGAUGAGUUGCGAACGGGUGAGUAACGCGUAGGUAACCUGCCUGGUAGCGGGGGAUAACUAUUGGAAACGAUAGCUAAUACCGCAUAACAGUAGAUGUUGCAUGACAUUUGCUUAAAAGGUGCAAUUGCAUCACUACCAGAUGGACCUGCGUUGUAUUAGCUAGUUGGUGAGGUAACGGCUCACCAAGGCGACGAUACAUAGCCGACCUGAGAGGGUGAUCGGCCACACUGGGACUGAGACACGGCCCAGACUCCUACGGGAGGCAGCAGUAGGGAAUCUUCGGCAAUGGACGGAAGUCUGACCGAGCAACGCCGCGUGAGCGAAGAAGGUUUUCGGAUCGUAAAGCUCGGUUGUAAGAGAAGAACGAGUGUGAGAGUGGAAAGUUCACACUGUGACGGUAUCUUACCAGAAAGGGACGGCUAACUACGUG